AUGGGCUCGAGGCCGCGGUUGUGGCCGGAGGAGAUCCGGUGGUGCCUCGGUGGUAGCGGCAGCGAGGGCGUGGCACUGGCUAUAUGGGGCGCUCCAUGCGGGAUCCUUCCCGAGAGCGAGGGGCUGCUUAGGCUCUUCGGCUGGUCCCGCCGCUCAUGGAGCCGCCCGCCUCCGAGUCCUUGGUGGCACACUCCCCCUGCAUCACUUUCGGCAGCGGUGGGGACGGCGGGUCGCUGCCUGCUGACGGUGAUGUGGCGUACCUCGAUGACGGGCCGACGAGGACCCGAGCCGCCAUGCCAUUCAAGCCCUCUUCGGCUGCUCCGACCGCCUCGACCAAGCGGUCAUGGUCGCGGCGGCCGCCGCCCAGGUGAUCGCGCUUGUCGUCUACAUCUAGCUCUUGAGUGUGGCCAUCAACUCGCUCUCAUGGUCAUCAGCUAUCUGAACCAUCAAGCAGGAAAAAGGCCGGGCCCAGUUGGUGGGGGGAUGCUGGAGGUGUGUAGCGGCAGGGAGCGUCGCUGGCGUGCGAGAUUUGAUGCGCAUGAAGGGCUGCAGCUGGGAGCGGCGACUGCCCCUCCGACCGAGCUGUUCAAUGCCGCAGCGGGGGCCUACCUCGACGACAACGACGAACGGGCCAGUGCCAAGGGCAAGACCGACGUGCAGUACAUCAUCCUCGACAGGGUGCAGCCAUCAGCAGCAUCGUCAGGAGGGGCAUGCUGGAUGAGCUCAAGAAGACCCUGGUCAGGAGGAGCAUCCAGAAAAAAGGCCCGUAGGGACGAUGGGAAGGAGAGCGUUCGGGCUGGGAGGCCUCUCCUCCCGAACGAUUUCAUUCGUACCAGGCGCCUGUCGCACCGAACUCCUCGUUGUCCCAGACCGAACGUUCGGUCCUUAUCUACGUGCAAAAACGCUGGGAUGAGGCCAGAGAGGGCUGACUUGGUGACGGAAAACCGGGGCGACCGAGAAAACCAGCAGCGAAAACAACAGCGUCCUCCUCGCUCUGCAACGGUCCACGACCCGACGCAUCGUCGUUUUGCUAGAAAUAAUACUAUACGUGGUAGGUAG
rnacentral:rRNA from 1 species